UUCAAGGGGCCUAAGGGAGCUGGGUAGUAGCUAUUUGCCUAACUUCAGGCAAUUUUGAAAAAUUCCUGCCUGAACGUAGAUCUCCUGCGUCUUAUUCCAUUAAUUAGCGGGUGGGUGGAGAGUAGGCGGGGAAAGACAGAAGGUAGAUGCAAAGCUUAUGAAAUGCAGAACUGUUUGCUGUUCUGGCUUGGAGGAAAUAAGAAUUUAGGGCGUUAGCUUCAGCGGGAAUAUUUCACACAACGCCACUGUGCUAAAGCAGAGUUCAGCGGCAGUCAUGCUGCUGUUACACUGUCUUUGCAUUAUCUCAUGGUGCAGCUUGUCAGGCUGGGUGGCCGCGAUCACUUUGACCCAGCCAAGUUUUGCCCAGGCAGAGCCAGGGAACUCCAUUACGCUGGACUGUGCUGUUUCUGGGUACAAUGUUAAUGACCGUCAUAUGCAAUGGUUGCGCCUGCCCCAGGGGAAAAAUCUGGUCCGGAUAGCAUCCUUCAGACCAGGUUACACCAUCUACAUCGCGGAUGAGUUCAAAGGACGGGUCACCCCCUCCACCAGCGGCUCCACUGGCAAGCUAAAGAUAGAGAGUCUCACAGCUGCAGACACUGCUACUUACUACUGUGCCACAGAUGCACAGUGGUCGCUGCCUGGCUUCCUCUCCGACAAUAUCUCCCCUGGAACUGCCUCCUCUCCCUUACCCAUCUCUCUCACACAUGAACUUCCCCCCCGGGCAUAUGGACAGUAAAGGAAUGGAGCAAUGGAGUCCCACAUCAGUCCUCAAAAUGUGGGGUCCUUGGUGAACAAGCCCUGUUCUAGGUCUUGUCGAAAGGGUUUUACAUUUCACCCUGAGAGACAUUGGGCUUUGCUGUCUGCAAAUUUAGUUUGUGUUCUUCAGAUCAAAUGGUGAUCAGGGAGCAGCGUGGUUUGCUCGUUAGGCCACUGGAGCUGGAAUCAGGAAAUGUUGAUUCUGUUCUUGGCUGUGGCACCGAUGUACAGUGUGAAAUGAAGCAACUGGCAUCCCCUGUCUCUGAUUCCUUUGUUAGGCUUCUCUGUUUAGAUUGAAACCUGUUCAGUCCAAGUCUCCUUUGGGGUGUAUGGGCAGCACCCACCACACUGGGGCCUUGUUCUUGGUUGAGACCCUUCAGGUGUUACUAAAAUGCCUACAGUAAUGACCCAGGGAUUUGAAUGGCAGAAAGGACCCUUAUGUGAGACCAUCCCACCCAAUGGGUCCUGCAUCUGGCUGAAAUGUUGCACUGGGAGCACUUGUCAUAUUAGGAGCAUGGAGGACAGGGUCACAGAGUUCUGAGGCCAGAAACACCGUUCUGAGACCAUUGUGGCCCUCUGCAUGACACCCAUCCAGUCAUUUCUGUAACAAACCCGAGACUUUUGUUGGAGCCACAGCGUAUCAUUUGAGCUACAGUAUAGCUAUUGGCUACCAGUGACAGUGCUGGACAGGGCGGAAGGCGAUCUGGACUCUUAUCCUAGUCCGCCACCAGUCUGCAAUGGUCGGGGGUGAACAUGGGUCCCUGUGGUACAGUGGUCUCCAGAGGGCAGCAGAACCUGGGUUUCCCCACUGCUCGCUGCUUUCUUAACUAACGUUAGCAGACAGGAAAAUGGUUUUAAGAGCCGCUCUCCUAUUGUGUGAAGAAUGGCUGCUGCUUUGUACAACCCCGACGAGUGGCUCUUUUGAGGUAAUAUGUACAUGAAAAUGGAACCGCUGUAGAAAAUGGACGCCACCACGAUGUGAGCUGAGCAGGUGGAAAUUGCCUUUUGCUGACCGGUGGUGGACGGGAUACGUAAGAUGGUGGGGAUGAUAUCCGCGUAGGUCACUCUUGUGAAGAGCAAAGAGCUAAGCACCAUCGUGGAAGUGUAUAGGGAGCUCCCAAUCAGGUACCAAUAAUCAACUGGACAGGCAAUUGCCCAUGCAUGAUGGUGGGGUAAUGCAAAGGCCUACAAUUAGCUAUGUAGCUAUCAAAAGACAUUAUGGCUGCCAAGAUAUCCUCCGAGGUCCCAAGGAAGAAAGAGAAAUAGGUUUGGGUGAAACACCCACUAAUGAAUCAUAUGUCAGCACAUCAAGCUAUUUCUUUCAUUGUUUUGGGAAGGAUGACCCUGGUGAAUCAUACCCCUGAGAAGGACAAAUUGCAGAAAAACCAGUACAUUGGACUGUGGAAGCGGUAAUCACUCCACACCAAGGCUAUGAUCACCAUGUACCCCAUACGCGUCAGCAUGUAAAAGAGAGCACUGUUCCUCCGGCCACGCAUUCAGAUGAAAGGGAUCCAGAUUCCUUUACUUCACCAGUGGUUGGAGCUGCAGCGUGGUGGGGAGCCUACUCCAAGAGAGGACCUGUGCCCAAAGUUGUAUCUCGUGAUACCCAGGCUGAUAAGAAAAUGCCCAUUUCCGACUUGAAUAACACAAAGGACCCAAGGGGAGCGCUCACUAGUCACUGCGGGCACAACUGGCAACUCCAGGGCGGUAAUGAAAAACCUGGUUGAAAACACAAUCACCUCAACCGGGAGAUUUGUUUCCCCGGCCAGGAAAUUAUCCCUGGUUUUCCCAGGCCCCCACACUAAGCCUCUGGAGUGUAAAUGUAUCCGGUAAAGACGAGCCUCUACACGAAUGUCAAGUUCCCGAUUCACCCCUAGAAUAUGAUUUCUCUGUCCUUAAAGAAGGGAGCAGAUGCAAAUAGAGUGACAACAUUUCCUGUCAACCCCCCGCCUUGUCCCCGACCCUGCACGAUACAAAAGCUGCAGUCCCAUGUGUCUGCAGUGAAGACCCACAACUCUCACUGGGGAUUUUUCUCCAAACUUAGCAGAAGAAGAUGCUCUUCUGGCUGCAUUUUGCUUUCAUGGCAGCACUGCCCUAAGGAGUCCAUUUGCAGAUUCAGCUGGUGGAGGCUAGGAGAGGUGUUAAAACCACAGGAGAUUCUAUCAGCAUCUCCUGUAAAGCCUCCGGAUU